GCACCGUCGACACUUCAACGACGACGAGAGUGGAGGCCUAUCACAGCAGCCCUACGAGACGCAGGUCUGAAAUAUGCCUGGGGAUUCCCCUUCAAGCUUAUGGUGUUCCGGGGAGACCGCUCACAUAUCCUGAUGCCGGGAGGGGAUCCCCAACGCUUCUUUAGGAACCUCGGCCUACAACCACCCCCCCGACUUCCAGAUAUCUCUCUGCACCCUACCGAGCUUCAACAACUACAGACAGAGUGGCAAGAAGUCGGAGCUAGAGGCCAUCGCUGAAGCACUGUGGGUAUCGUAUAAUACACACAUCACACAACACCAUCCACCGCCUUAUACCCCACCUCAUAUUCCACGGAGACUGUUCAGUUUAAAUUAGUUCUCCCCUCGCUGUGAUGAGAGCCGACACUAGCCCCCUUUUUCGUACUCUGACUGGAACUCUAAGGGGAUUUACAUCGAAACCUGCCCUGGCUAGCCCCCCUUUUCAGCCAAUCCUCCAUUCUUGUUUUAACUGUAGGUUCAAUAUUAUGUUACUUUAUGAUACAUGCCAGUGCCCUACCUUAAAUUGUCGAGGAGGCUAAUACGGGAGUGGGUCUGGCCCCCUCGCGAUUUGCUUUGGGAGGGCUGUGGGGGGUACCGCAAUAGGCUUCAAG